AUGUUUAUGAAAAAGUUUCUUCUCGUGCCGUUUAUCGCAGCAUCUACAAAGCCUUUAUUGGAGAAAAUGCCAAACUUCAAUGUCUUUUCUCUGGAAUUCCUGUACCAGAGAUAAAAUGGCAGAAUAUAAAUGGAUCGUUUAUCAGAAACAAUCAUAAAUAUAGUAUUGGGCAGUUUGGGAGAGAACUUCAAAUAUUUAAUGUUACCUUUGAUGAUGACGGUGUUUACACCUGCGUCACAAGAAACAACCUUACACUAAAUCCGAUGCUUAAUGUCACAUCCACUCCGUUAUUCCCCGAUGUACACAGGAAUUUUGUGACGAAGAUAGUAAAUUUUCGGACUAGAAAUGACAUCAAACUAUUAUGCAAUGCUGCAUCUGCGCCAAGCGAGCUUGAUCCUAUUGUAGACAGGUGGAUGAAGAAUGGAAAGGAAAUAAAACAAGGUUAUCCUUAUCAUCUUUCUGACGACAACAAGACAUUAAACAUAAACAAAAUGAGGUUACCUGACGCAGGAUGUUACACGUGUGUGACGAAAAAUAGCGAAGGGAUUGCUGUAGCUAACUUUUUACUUCGCUCCGG